UUCUCUUCUCAAUCUGUGACCCUAGAUCGCGAACGGCAACCAAUCUUCAUCGUGCUUCCGCCGCAAAAAUCCUUGGGUUUCUUCAUUUGAUUGUUAACUUGUGACUGCUAGCACUUUUGGGUUGCCAUUUCAAUUGUCUUCUUUGUUGCUGCUACAUUAUUUACUCUACUGAAACUUUGUGAUAGCCAGCCAAGCUAAGCUAAGUAGAUGGAAGCAAUUGUUGAAGUUGAAGAUUGUGAAAGCGUUUAAGAUUUCUUAUUUAAGUCUUGUAUUAGGAUCUAGUUUCAUGUAUUAUUAUAGAAUGUAUAUACAAACGCAAUAUUAAGA